rnacentral:rRNA from 1 species
GAUCCUGGCUCAGGAUGAACGCUAGCUACAGGCUUAACACAUGCAAGUCGAGGGGUAGCAUGGUCUUAGCUUGCUAAGGCCGAUGGCGACCGGCGCACGGGUGAGUAACACGUAUCCAACCUGCCGUCUACUCUUGGACAGCCUUCUGAAAAGGAAGAUUAAUACAAGAUGGCAUCAUGAGUCCGCAUGUUCACAUGAUUAAAGGUAUUCCGGUAGACGAUGGGGGUGCGUU